UCCUUCGGCCACUUGUCCCUGGACGGCCUCCCCCGCCACGGCGAUGCCUCCCGAUGAUGGGUCGGCCAUCUCUUCAGUGACUUGAUCGCCGGCCCCCGGCGGGACGAUACUGCUGAGGUCCAGCUCCGGGUACAAGGCUCGGACCGCAUCCCGACCGUCCUCGUACCCCACCCGGUACGACGCGAAGCCGGACUCUAACAUUUCCUCCCGGUACUGGUCGGUGGCGUGGAAGUCGUCCACCGCCCGACUUGCCGACUCCUUCGCCGACCUUGCUUCCUCUUCCGCCCGGUC
rnacentral:lncRNA from 1 species